CAGCCGCCGCGGGAAUACGAAGGGGGCUAGCGUUGUUCGGAAUUACUGGGCGUAAAGGGCGCGUAGGCGGCCAUUCAAGUUAGAUGUGAAAGCCCUGGGCUCAACCUAGGAAUUGCAUUUGAUACUGUUUGGCUUGAGUUCGGGAGAGGUGAGUGGAAUUCCCAGUGUAGAGGUGAAAUUCGUAGAUAUUGGGAAGAACACCAGUGGCGAAGGCGGCUCACUGGACCGACACUGACGCUGAGGCGCGAAAGCGUGGGGAGCAAACAGGAUUAGAUACCCCAGUAGUCCCUGUCUCUUAUAC
rnacentral:rRNA from 1 species